AGAGCGAACGCUGGCGGCAGGCUUAACACAUGCAAGUCGAGCGGAUGUAGCAAUACAUCAGCGGCAGACGGGUGAGUAACACGUGGGAACGUACCUUUUGGUUCGGAACAACACAGGGAAACUUGUGCUAAUACCGGAUAAGCCCUUACGGGGAAAGAUUUAUCGCCGAAAGAUCGGCCCGCGUCUGAUUAGCUAGUUGGUGAGGUAAUGGCUCACCAAGGCGACGAUCAGUAGCUGGUCUGAGAGGAUGAUCAGCCACAUUGGGACUGAGACACGGCCCAAACUCCUACGGGAGGCAGCAGUGGGGAAUAUUGGACAAUGGGCGCAAGCCUGAUCCAGCCAUGCCGCGUGAGUGAUGAAGGCCCUAGGGUUGUAAAGCUCUUUGUGCGGGAAGAUAAUGACGGUACCGCAAGAAUAACGCCCGGCUAACCUUCGCGCCAGCAGCCGC
rnacentral:rRNA from 1 species